GCAAAGACAGCCAGGAGGUUUGCCUAGAAGCAGCCACCCUUUAAAGAGUGCGUAAUAGCUCACUGAUCGAGCGCCCUUGCGCUGAAGAUGAACGGGGCUAAGCGAUCUGCCGAAGCUGUGGGAUGUCAAAAUGCAUCGGUAGGGGAGCGUUCCGCCUUAAAGGGAAGCAACCGCGAAAGCGGGGGUCGACGAAGCGGAAGCGAGAAUGUCGGCUUGAG
rnacentral:ncRNA from 1 species